rnacentral:tRNA from 1 species
GGGCUGUAGCUCAGAGGCGGAGCACCUGCUUUGCAUGCAGAAGGUUCCAGGUUCAUUCCCUAACAGCAUCU